GCCUGGAGAAUCCCAGGGACGGGGGAGCCUGGUGGGCUUCCGGCUAUGGGGUCGCACAAAGUCGGACACGACUGAAGCGACUUAGCAGCAGCAUUUCCUUUGACUUUGAAUAGAAGUUGCAAAGAAGGACCAGUAAUGCUUAAAAACUGGGUUCCUUUUGUGAGUAAGUGGGCUUAAGACCAUGUGCUAAUAUUAUGAGGCAUUCAAGGGAAUUCCCAGGUUCUCAUCUAUGAGCUGAGCUAGGUCAGCAGAGGCUGGUCAUGUUUGAUGAAGAAAGAUCAUCUCAGUGGAUUUAUUUCUGUGUCCAGAUAAACUGAUGUGUCCAGCAAAACUGUUGUGAUCUUUCAUGGGCGUUACUCACACAGACUUGGAUGUACCAUUAACUAAUUUAGAGACAGCUUUUUAAAAAAACUAGAUAGGCAGUAAAAUAUUUAAUUCUCCUGCGUCUUUAUUUAUUUUUUUUUCCCCAUUUGACAUAGCAAGAUAAAGGCAAAAGAUUCCUGAAUGUAUGCCCCAUCUCUUCAGCUACCCUGGUGGCAUUUACAUAUAACUGAAAAAUGCUAUAAAUCCUCUUAAUCUUUUAGCUGGUGAAUUGCUAGAAGAAACUGGAAUACUUUAUUUUGGCCUGGUCCCAGCUCCAUUUAAAAUGCCAGACACAGCAGGGCUGAAUUUGUUCAUGUUCACUUGAGGACAGAGAAGCAGAGGAAGUUGUGUAAGGGAGUUGGAAAUGGAUGUGGUGAGGGGGUAGGGCCUGGGGGAGGGCCACAGCAAAUCCCUAACAAAAGGUAGUUUAUUUGUUCCACCAAAUAUGCCUUUCAAGAAAAGGCCAUUUCUAACCUGCAGCAAGUUAACAACUGAAUGGAGAUUGCAAAGAUAGGGAAUUGUUUUGUGUUUCCAAUUCAUUGAACUUGGAGCAUCUGAUCUUACUGUUAAAUUCAGCAAGGAAAAAGUAACCCAUCUCUCCAAAGUGAAGAUAACUGAAGGAGAAAAAAAAAAAGAUGAUAAAGGUUGUAUUCAAAAAGGAGUAAUAUAAUGCAGAAGAAAGAAAUUAGGUUUUAUCUCAUGUCAUAUAUAAACAUCAAGUCAAAAUGGAUGGAGAGCUUAAAUGUAAGACCAGAAAAACUCCUUGAUAUUCGUCUGAGCAAUGAUUUUUUGGGGAAGGGUGUGCUAUAACAUAGGCACAGGCAAUAAACAAAUAAACAAAUUGCUUGCAUCAAAUUAAAAAGCUUCUGAACAGCCAAGGAAACAAUUAACAGUCAGGAGAUAACCUAUAGAUGGGAGAACACAUUUGCAAACCACACAUAUGAAGGACAGGGAAGCCUGGUAUGCUGCAGUUCACGGGGUCACAAAGAGUCAGAUGCACCUUAGAGACUGAAUAAUACCACCACCAUAUAAUAUGGGGUUAAUACUCAAAAUACAAAAGGAACUCAAACAACUCAACAGCAAGAAAAUAACCUGAUUUUAAAAAUGGACAAAGGACCUGAAUAGACAUUUUUUACAAGAAGGCAAAUAAAUGGUCAAUAGAUACAUGAAAGGUGUGGAACAUCACUAAUCAUCAGGAAAAUGCAAAUCAACACCAAAAUGAGAUGUCAUAUCACACCUGUAAAAACGGCUAUUAUCAAAAAGACACAAGAUAAUCAGUGUUUUUGACGAUGUAGAGAAAAGGGAAUCCUUGCAUAUCACUGGUAGGAACGUACAUUGGUACAGCUGCUACAGAAACCAGUAUGGUGAUAUGCCCCCAAAUUAUAAAUAGAACUAUCAUAUGAUCCAGCAAACUCACACUUUAUGAAGUCAGUAUAUCAAAGAGAUACUACCCCCAUGUUCACUGCAGCAUUAUUCACAACAGCCAAGACAUGGAAACAACACGCAUACACAUCCAUUAUGGAAUAGUACACAACCAUGAACAAGAUGGAAACCCUGCCACUUGGACCUAGAUGACAAUAUGCUAAGUGAAAUAAGCCAGACCCAGAAACGAAAUUUCUGUAUGGUCUCACUUAUAUGUGGACUCAAAAACAAGGUCAAAAUCACAGAAGCAGAGAGCAAAACAAUGGUUACUAGGGGCUGGGAGGGGUAGGGAAAAUGGGGAGAUGUUGGUCAAAGAGUAUAAACUUGUUAAUUGUGCCAGAUGAGUAAGUCUAGAGAUCUAAUAUAGAAAAAUGAUGACCAUACCUAAUAAUACUGUACUGAACAAUGGUAAUAUGCUGAGAGAAUAGAUUCAGGUACACUCAUCUCACUCAGAAAAGUGAUAACUGUGAUGGGAAGAUACAUUAAUUAUCUCAACUAUAGUAAUGAUUUCACAAUAUAUUUCUAUAUUAGAUUAUAUUGUACACUUGAAAUAUUUACAAUUUUUCUUUAAAAAACUAAAAAUAAUUAAAGGGAGUAAAAUGGGAUAUGGAGAACCUUUAAGUGAUAUUCAUACAUGUAUAUAUAUAUAUAUAUAUAUUUAAAUAUACAUGUCUAUUUUUUAAAGACCUACAUUUAAAUCUUUGCUGUGCUACCGACUAGCUUCUAGGUGACUACAAGUCACUACUUUGACCUUGAGUGACUCUCCUUGAACUUCAUUUUCCAUAACUGUAAUUGUGCCAACUGCACAGACUUGUUGUGAGGUUGCAAUUAAAUACUAUGGGUACCAUGCUUGCUAUAUUCUAUGCACCUAUCAAUAAAAAGCUUUAAAAAUUAUAUUAGGCAUGUUAAUAUCAUGGAUGACAAACAGGUUUAAUUUCUAACUAAUUUUUAGUUAUGACUGCCUAGAAUAUGUUUAGCAUGACUGUGACUAGGCUUGGCAGAGUAGGGUGAUUGAUUAUUGAUGUCUGCUACUGGCACCAAAUGAGGGAUGUAUUUGCCAUCCAGAAUCCAGUGAAAAGGUCACAGAGUGUCAGAAGACAUGGUGUUUCAGCCUCCAAUUAGCUGGGUAACGUAGGAACAUCUUUUAUUCCCUCUGGCCCUCAUUUUCUCUAAUGUAAAAUGAAUGAGCAGAACUUUAUGAUCUCUUAGGUCUUUUUGAGUCUGAAUAUUCUGAUUCUAACCUAGAAAAUAUUAUUACUGCUUCACAGGUUUGGAAUGUUAAUAAGACUCUUAAAAAUGCUUUGCAAUUCUGAGCAGUAACGAUGAGAAUGACUGAAAUGCAACAAGUUUUGAGAAAAGACCUCCAUUUGUCUGUUUCAACUGAGGUGUCAAUAUGACAGAUUCAAGAGAAUAAGGCAAGUGAAACAAAUGUGUAUAUGAAGAUUUUUAAAGAACAUGUCCAAUAAACUGAUCUAGUUCUCUUGACAGACUUGCUCUCCGUUCCUCCCCCAGCCCAUCCUCUGAGGUUAUCAACAGAGGCCAGAGUAUGGAGAAUGAGACUGUGUGAACACAUUGACAAAGAGGCUUUUUGGGGAAAUAUAAAUGAAGAUCACAAGGAGACACCAUUUUCCUGAUAUCUGAGUGGCCAAAAUGAAGAAGGCUGACAGUACCAAGAAACAGAGAGGACGUGGAUCCAUAGGAUUUCAUAUAUAUUACUGGUCAGAGGGAUGCAAGUACUCAAAGGCUCAGAGCACUGCUGUACACAGUGGCAAAAGCGUCAUGACCACUCAAGUGCCCGCUGAUGGGGUUGAUGUGUUGCACAUUUCCAGGGAGCAUCAGUGAUAUCAUCAUGUAUGUGGAUAGUGCCCUUGAAGCUGUACAGGACACAAUCUUCACAACCAUAUUCAGUUUGAUCAACAACAUAAACUGGGUGAGUACAUGCUUGGCACUGAGAAUAGAGCAGUGAGCAUGGCAGAUUUGGAUAUUACCCCUGUAAAGCUUUACUUUAGAUGAAGUCAGACAAAAAAUGAGUAGCUACAAAAACCAAAUGAAUAUAAACUGAGAUAAGUCGUAGAAGUAUAGGGAUGAUAUACGCAAGGACCUCUAACAAGGGCUACUAAGAAAGAAAUUCAGAGGAAGCAAUAUUUAAGUUGAAGCAUAAAGGAUAACUUUCUUUAUGGAUGUGAAAACGGGUUAGCAAAGGAUGUUUCAGGAAGAGGGAAGGAUAUUCAGAAAGGAAAAACAAGAGCAACACAUCACAUCACGAAGGAUAUGGAAUAGCCAAGGAAUUGAAGUGUGGCUGGGAAAUGGAGGAGACAGGACUGGAGAGGGAGUCAGGGGCCAGGGCCCUGUAGUGAGGUCAUGCUUGUGCAUUAUGGAGAAGACACGUGACACUGAUAAAUACAUGUGGCUGAUGAUACGAGGGCUCUUUCAGUAGAACAAGUGAGAGACAAUGGUGGCUUGUCUAGGGCAAUGCUAGAAAAGGUGGGAAGAAGUAGACAGAUAAAAGAGGUUUUCUACUGAAAUGUAUUACCCUAACUUCAUUCUGCUAUUUGUUGGCCAUUAGUGUGAAUUAUUUUGACCUUUGCAUGCUCUUAGACAGUAUUAAACAUCAACUGUUGUGAGUGAUUCUGUGAAGAGCAGAAUUAUUUGAAGUUAACAUCAAAGACCAUUGAAAUCUAGUGUUGGGUUUGCCUAUUAAUAUGUCAUAAUGACAAUAAAAUAGUCAUUACACUCUCUUUCAUCAGAAAUCUAUUUGACAACCUAAAAUUUAAUCCCUCUUUUCUCUUCUAUAACAUGGAGUAUCUACUCGUUUGAGAUUGUGGUGAAGAUGCAAAGAGAUGAUACAUACCUAAAGCACUCAUCACAAUGUCUGCUGUACCAUAUUUGUUGUUGGGUAUUUUUUACUACUGCUUUAUUCAUACUUAUGAUGGGAGUCUGGGGUGAGAGUUAAUCACCUUUUUUCCUCUGAGUUGGCUGGGCACCAAAAUUUUGGGAAAGAGAUGCAGCAGUUAAAUGAAGAGAGAUAAAAAUAUUAGCUUUAUCACCAAUAUCACUGAAUUUAAGAAUAUGAUUGGCUUUUCUGCCCACUUGCACCAAAUCUAGCAAUGGAUACCCUUAACUGAAGUAAACCUGCAUAUCUACACCUCAAAAUUGUUCUUGGGCCUCCAUCAGGAACACAGAGGGUUUGAGCAAGACCAGGACCCUGCCCUGAUUCAGGUGUGCUUAUGUAAUGGAAGAAGUGAACAGUACACUUUCACUCUUCCACGGAACCAGAGAGGGGAGAAAUUGAGAGCGAGGACCCUGGAGUUUGAGUGAGUGAGUGAACCUGGCUGUGCCAUUCAUCAGCCAAGCAGACAUACAAGUGCCUCCAAGUUUCUAUGAGUUAAUCUCCUCACCUAGAAGAUGAGGAUGAUAAAGUGCUACCUCACAGGACUGCUGUAAGGAUUAAAGAAAUGAGAAUGUUGGUAUCUGGCAUGUAGAAAUAUAUGUUUGCCAUGACCAGCAUCUGAAAAAAAAGAAUACAGAAAACGCUGCACUCUAUACUUUUCCAAUCUCAUCUACCAGAAAGAUUACUGUUCUUCCCCAGGGGAAGAGCAUACAAAGAGAAAAUAUUUCUGAAAGAGAAGGGAAUACAUAUUUCCAGUGCAUUGCCUUCCUGAGGCAUGGGAUGAGGGGUAAGCCCUUCCUCUAUGCUGAAUAUCAGGGAAGAGUAGGAGCUGACCUCCCAUAUACUCUAUCAUGGACUUCCUUGGUAGUUGCUAUGCAGGACACCUGGAUUUGAUCCCUGGGUUGGGGAGAUCCCCUGAGAAGGAAUGGCUACCCACUCCAGUAUUCUUG